GGAGGAGGUAAAUUAUAUAUAUAAAAAAACUGCACUGUUGAUUUUUUUUUUAUAAUUAUAUUAUAAACUAAUAAAUUACUAAUUAAACUCCAUAAUUUUUAUAUUUCCUAAUUAUAUCCUACUCUCAACUAGUCUGUUAAUAAUCUAAUGGACUUGCCACGUCAAACCCCUAUUAAUUUUAAUUAAUUUAAAAAAAAAUAAAAUGAAGAAAUUUUAAAAACAAAUAUCUAUCUUCUUCCCCAAAAUCGAAAGCUUCUACCGGUUUUUCCCAAACUCAAAACCUUCUUUUUCUAUUCUUUAAAUCAAAGCUCCAAAAAAUACUUUCAUAUCUAUAAGUGAUGGCUCCCCCAGCCUGAAGCCAAGAAGUCUCAAGGUGAUUUAGGGGUUGGCAUGGUGAGUCCGUUAGGUCAUUAACGAACCAGUUGACAGUAGAUUGUUAUUAGGAAAACAUAAAAAAUAUAGAAUUUUAAUUGAUAAUUUAUUUAAUUUAUAAUAUAAUUGGAAAAAAUUUGAAAGUAUAGAU
rnacentral:misc_RNA from 1 species